rnacentral:rRNA from 1 species
GACGAACGCUGGCGGCGUGCUUAACACAUGCAAGUCGAACGGAAAGGCCCUGCUUUGGUGGGGUGCUCGAGUGGCGAACGGGUGAGUAACACGUGAGUAACCUGCCCGUUACUUUGUGAUAACUUCAGGAAACUGGGGCUAAUACCUGAUAGGAGCUCCUGCUGCAUGGUGGGGGUUGGAAAGUUUCGGCGGUCGGGGGUGGACUCGCGGCUUAUCAGCUUGUUGGUGGGGUAGUGGCUUACCAAGGCUUUGACGGGUAGCCGGCCUGAGAGGGUGACCGGCCACAUUGGGACUGAGAUACGGCCCAGACUCCUACGGGAGGCAGCAGUGGGGAAUAUUGCACAAUGGGCGGAAGCCUGAUGAAGCAACGCCGCGUGCGGGAUGACGGCCUUCGGGUUGUAAACCGCUUUCGCCUGUGACGAAGCGUGAGUGACGGUAAUGGGUAAAGAAGCACCGGCUAACUACGUG